AAAUGAAUAGACGGGAGCCCGCACAAGCAGUGGAGUAUGUUGUUUAAUUCGAAGCAACGCGAAGAACCUUACCAGGUCUUGACAUCUACCGAACCCGGCAUAAUGGCCGGGGUGCCCUUCGGGGAGCGGUAAGACAGGUAGUGCAUGGUUGUCGUCAGCUCGUGUCGUGAGAUGUUGGGUUAAGUCCCGCAACGAGCGCAACCCUUGCGUAUAGUUGCUCGUCCCCUAAUCGGGGAAAGCACUCUAUUCGGACUGCCGUUGACAAAACGGAGGAAGGCGGGGAUGAUGUCAAAUCAUCAUGCUCUUUAUGAUCUGGGCCACAAACGUACUACAAUGGCGCGAACAACGGGGAGCGAAGGCGCGAGCCGGAGCAAAUCCCAAAAACGCGUCCCAGUUCAGAUUGCAGGCUGCAACUCGCCUGCAUGAAGUCGGAAUUGCUAGUAAUCGCGGAUCAGCAUGCCGCGGUGAAUACGUUCCCGGGCUUUGUACACACCGCCCGU
rnacentral:rRNA from 1 species